rnacentral:rRNA from 1 species
UACGUAGGGGGCAAGCGUUGUCCGGAAUCAUUGGGCGUAAAGAGCGUGUAGGCGGCCCGGUAAGUCCGCUGUGAAAGUCCAGGGCUCAACCCUGGGAUGCCGGUGGAUACUGUCGGGCUCGAGUCCGGAAGAGGAGUGUGGAAUUCCUGGUGUAGCGGUGAAAUGCGCAGAUAUCAGGAGGAACACCGGUGGCGAAGGCGGCAUCCUGGACCGGCAUUGACGCUGAGGCGCGAAAGCCAGGGGAGCAAACGGG